rnacentral:lncRNA from 1 species
CAUGCUAAAUUCCAACAUGAGUCACUGGAAUUAAAUUUGCUAAGUCAAGCUCACCACAAUUAUCAUCUCAAGUAAAUAAUAUUAACUAAAAUGUACAGAUAACCUCAGACUGAGAGACACACCAUUAAAUUAAAUAUUAUAUAAUUUAUAAUUUAGCAAUGUAAAGAAAUUACAUUGCUAAUUACUUUUUUUCUACCUUGGUCAGCACAGAUGCUCAAGUUCAGUAUUUGGGAACUGCAUCUUAAUUACAGAUGAACUCAAGAUGUAUCACAGUUAACUAUGUGCUUGGUGGUUUUAUUAGCCUCGCUCACAGGAAUAAACCUUUUUUCAAGUUCUAGGACUACCUUCUUUCAUUUUUUCUUAGUGACCGAAAUAGUGAUUUCAUUGAGUCACACUUUAAAAAAAAUUUUUGAAGGAAAUUACAAACCACAGAUGGGACUCUGUAGAAUAGUGACUGCCCAGAGUACACAGUCCUCAGUGCCACAAAAGCAGUGCUAUAAUUUUUUAAAAAUUACUUUGUUCUGUCCAAAUAAACAGAUAAUAGCGAGCAGAUAACUAUUAACAUUU